rnacentral:lncRNA from 1 species
AUCCAAUUAACUUUAUAUAAGAAAACAAAUAUAUGUACAAUUGCAAUUAUAACAUAAGAAGAAGUGAACAAUAAAUGAUCAAACUGGCCACUUACUUACCUAUACUGUUACAAAUGAAUUUCAAGUAAGGGGUCAUCAAUAAUUGUCAACCAUUUUCCAAAGUGUAAAAAGCAUACAAUUAGAGGGAGGGGGGUAAAAAAAUCAACAUUUUCACAGAAAUCUUUUUUUUUUAUUUCCGGAUUUUUUUCAUUUCCACAGGGUUCACUCAUUGAUGUCAUCAAAUAAAUAGUUUGAUAUGUUUCAUGUUAUUUUUAAUGCAAAUUUCUGUAUUAUAAACUAAACUUUAAUAGACAGGAUCUUCUUUUUAUGAACAAUGAUUGAUUCUUGUCUUGAAAUAUGACAAUUGGUUGAUGUACACUUUAUGAGGGAGGGGGUCUGAAAAAGUGUAUGUUUUGUACACUUUGGAAAAUGGUUGACAAUUCUGGAUGACCCUUAAGUUUUACAAGUGAAAAUCAUGAGAAAAUCUUAACGAAAAAUAUAAUUUGCUAAAACUUUCAACACAAUAGAAAAGAAAUAUUGUUGAUGCUAUGUUUUAACGCUUUUAACACUUUCCAAAUAAGUCCAAGUACACUGAAAUUCUAUAAACUAAUUCUGGUGUCCUAGGACUUUAUAUUUUCAUUCAAAAGAUGUAUUCAGUAUCUGAUCAUUUAUCUUGUUUUUAAUUUACAUAAAAAUACAAAAACAUCAACUUCAAUUUACACAAUUUUGCUUCAUAAUUCUUGGGUUGUUUUUUUUUAACUUGUUAAAAAUGGAUAAAUGAUAGCACCAUCAUAACAUUAGCCCCUUUUCAAGCUAUUCACACAUUUGGAUAAAAACCCUAUAAUACAUUUUUGUCAAAACCUAAGAUUUUCA